UAGGGAAUAUUGCUCAAUGGGGGAAACCCUGAAGCAGCAACGCCGCGUGGAGGAUGACACUUUUCGGAGCGUAAACUCCUUUUCUUGGGAAAGAAUUAUGACGGUACCCAAGGAAUAAGCACCGGCUAACUCCGUGCCAGCAGCCGCGGUAAUACGGAGGGUGCAAGCGUUACUCGGAAUCACUGGGCGUAAAGGACGCGUAGGCGGAUUAUCAAGUCUCUUGUGAAAUCUAACGGCUUAACCGUUAAACUGCUUGGGAAACUGAUAAUCUAGAGUAAGGGAGAGGCAGAUGGAAUUCUUGGUGUAGGGGUAAAAUCCGUAGAGAUCAAGAAGAAUACCCAUUGCGAAAGCGAUCUGCUGGAACUUAACUGACGCUAAUGCGUGAAAGCGUGGGGAGCAAACA
rnacentral:rRNA from 1 species